rnacentral:rRNA from 1 species
GUCUUUUCGAUUAAAUGUGAAGUCUGGCCUGCCCACUGACUUGAAGGGCCGCGGUAUUAUGACCGUGCGAAGGUAGCAUAGUCAAUAGUCUUUUAAUUGAAGGCUGGAAUGAAUGGUUGGACGGGAAGAAAGCUGUCUCGCUUAUUAAUGGUGAAUUUGACUUUUAUGUGAAAAGGCAUAAAUGAUUUGGGGGGACGAUAAGACCCUAUAAAACUUUAUAAUUUUAAUUGGGGUCUUGAGUUUAAUAAGUGUUUAAGUAAAAUUAUUUUGCUGGGGUGGCAAGGAUAAAAUAACUGUUCCAUAAGUUUAAUAGUGAUAAUUAGAUAGUGACCCCCAUCUUUGGGUUUAGGAGUUUAAGUUACUUUAGGGAUAACGCGUGAUUUCUCUUGAGAGUUCAUAUCGACAGAGAUAGUUGCGACCUCGAUGUUGAAUUAAAACUUUCGUAGAGUAGGUAUUUACGGAGUGGGUCUGUUCGACUUUAAAGUUUU